AGAGUUUGAUCCUGGCUCAGGAUGAACGCUGGCGGCGUGCCUAACACAUGCAAGUCGAACGAAGUGCUUUCCCUGAAGCUUUUCGGAUCACAUGGGGAAGCGGAUGAAUGGCGGACGGGUGAGUAACGCGAGGGCAACCUGCCCCACACUGGGGGACAACAGCCAGAAACCGCUGCUAAUACCGCAUAUGCGCACUGCUCCCCCUGGGGCACUGCGGAAAGCUCCGGCGGCGUGGGAUGGGCCCGCUUCUGAUUAGCCAGAUGGCCCGGUAACCGCCUACCCAACCGACCAUCACUACCCUGCCUGACAGGGCGAACAGCCACAUUGGGCCUGAUACACAGCCCACACUCCUACGGCACGCAGCAGAGGGGGAUAUUGCACAAUGGGGGAAACCCUGAUGCACCCACACCCCGCGACUGAACAAGUAUUUCGGUAUGUAACGCUCUAUCAACAUGGACCAAAAUGACGGUACCUGAGUAAGAAGCCCCGGCUAACUACGUGCCAGCAGCCGCGGUAAUACGUAGGGGGCAAGCGUUAUCCGGAUUUACUGGGUGUAAAGGGAGCGUAGACGGUUAAGCAAGUCUGGAGUGAAAGGCGGGGGCUCAACCCCCGGACUGCUCUGGAAACUGUGUAACUAGAGUGCAGGAGGGGUAAGUGGAAUUCCUAGUGUAGCGGUGAAAUGCGUAGAUAUUAGGAGGAACACCAGUGGCGAAGGCGGCUUACUGGACUGUAACUGACGUUGAGGCUCGAAAGCGUGGGGAGCAAACUAGGAAGGGAUACCCUGGUAGUCCACGCCGUAAACGAUGCCCUCAAGGGUCGGUGGGUCAUGACCCAUCGGUGCCGUCGCAACAGCAGUAAGUAAUCCACCUGAGGAGGACGUCAGCAAGAAUGAAACUCAAAGGAAUCGACGGGGACCCCCACAAGCGGUGCAGCAUGUGGUUUAAUUAGAAGCAACGCGAACAACCUCACGUGGUCUUGACAUCCCGGUGAAUGCAGGGCAACGCCUGCAGCCCUUCGGGCGCACUGGAGCACAGGUGGCGCAUGGUUGUUCUCAGCUCGUUUCGUGAGAUGUUGGGUUAAGUCCCGCAACGAGCGCACCCCCUGCCCCCAGUAUCCACCACUCCGGGUGGGCACUCUGUGGGGACUGCCAGGGACAACCCGGAGGAAGGCGGGGACGACGUCAAAUCAUCAUGCCCCUUAUGGCCUGGGCUACACACGUGCUACAAUGGCGCACACAGAGGGAUGCGGACCGGUGAUGGCGAGCGAAUCCCAAAAAGUGCGUCUCAGUUCGGAUUGUAGUCUGCAACUCGACUACAUGAAGCCGGAAUCGCUAGUAAUCGCGGAUCAGAAUGCCGCGGUGAAUACGUUCCCGGGUCUUGCACACACCGCCCGUCA
rnacentral:rRNA from 1 species